rnacentral:misc_RNA from 1 species
GGAAGUUAAAAAAUAGUAUCAAUGGCUGCCGAAUUUGAUCAAACGACAGUGAAGGAAGAAGAGCAUUUUGACGUCCUUACAAAAACUGGAGAAAAAACCGGCUACUCUAAACCCAGAGGGGAUGUUCACAGAGAUGGAGACUACCAUCGAGCUGUUCAUGUGUGGAUAUUUGCUGAAAGUACACAAGAACUACUUCUACAACGACGUGCUGAUUGCAAGGAUUCCUGGGCUGGUCAAUGGGAUAUCUCGAGUGCAGGUCAUAUAUCUGCUGGAGAUUCAUCUCUUAUUUCUGCAAUG